AAGCUUCCAUUAGAAGAACUUCUUGGUUCUCUCAUGACCCAUGAGUUAAUUAUGAAGUAAAAUAUUGAGGAGAAAAGUAAGAAGAAAAAGACUAUCGCACUCAAGUCAACUGCAAUUGAAGAUGAUAAAAGCGAUGAGUCAGAUGAAGGUGAAAAGGAUGAUUUGACUUUAAUUACAAGAAGAUUUAAGAGGUUCAUGAAGAAGAAGAAGCAAAACUUCAAGAGAAGGCCAU
rnacentral:lncRNA from 1 species